rnacentral:tRNA from 1 species
GGUGUGGCUCAGUUUGGUAGAGCGCCUGGUUUGGGACCAGGAAGUCGCAGGUUCGAAUCCUGUCACC